GAUGAACGCUGGCGGCAUGCCUAACACAUGCAAGUCGAUCGGUAAGGCUCUUCGGAGUACACGAGAGGCGGACGGCUGAGUAACGCGUAGGAACACACCCUGCAGUGAAGGAUAAGACACCGAAAGGUGUUCUAAUACCGCAUACGGUCUUCGGAUUAAAGCAUUUAUGCGCUGAAGGAGUGGCCUGCGUCAUAUUAGAUAGUUGGUGAGGUAAUGGCUCACCAAGUCGAUGAUGUGUAGCUGGUCUGAGAGGAUGAUCAGCCAGACUGGAACUGAGACACGGUCCAGACUCCUACGGGAGGCAGCAGUGAGGAAUAUUUCACAAUGAGCGAAAGGGUGAUGGAGCAAUGCCGCGUGCAGGAUGAAGGCCCUCGGGUUGUAAACUGCUUUUAUAAGAGAAGAUUAUGACGGUAACUUAUGAAUAAGGGACGGCUAACUACGUG
rnacentral:rRNA from 1 species